rnacentral:rRNA from 1 species
CUACGUGCCAGCAGCCGCGGUAAUACGUAGGUCCCGAGCGUUGUCCGGAUUUAUUGGGCGUAAAGCGAGCGCAGGCGGUUAGAUAAGUCUGAAGUUAAAGGCUGUGGCUUAACCAUAGUACGCUUUGGAAACUGUUUAACUUGAGUGCAAGAGGGGAGAGUGGAAUUCCAUGUGUAGCGGUGAAAUGCGUAGAUAUAUGGAGGAACACCAGUGGCGAAAGCGGCUCUCUGGCUUGUAACUGACGCUGAGGCUCGAAAGCGUGGGGAGCAAACAGGAUUAGAUACCCUGGUAGUCCACGCCGUAAACGAUGAGUGCUAGGUGUUAGACCCUUUCCGGGGUUUAGUGCCGCAGCUAACGCAUUAAGCACUCCGCCUGGGGAGUACGACCGCAAGGUUGAAACUCAAAGGAAUUGACGGGGGCCCGCACAAGCGGAGGAACAUGGGUUUAAUUCGAUGAUACGCGAGGAACCUUACCCGGGCUUGAAC